UUAUAUGCAUAGUUUUUGUUCGCAAUUAUCGCAAAUAAUUAUGGAAAGCAGCAGCGAUUGUGAAUUUGAGAAUAUGCCUUGGGAAAUUUCCAAUGCAGCAGCUGCUGCUACAUCAUAUUCAUUGGCUGAAAAUCAAAGUCGAGGAAAUACAAAACUAUAACAGAGGAUGUAAUUUUGACGCAAAAAUCUGAAACUGUCAAAUCCUCUACCUUUUGGACCAUGUACUCUAUGUUGAAAAGUACCAUUUCAGUGAAGAAAAAUGUAAACAGCCACUUUUCUAAAGGUUAUCGCAUUUCUUAAAAAGAAAAAUGUUCGUUUUAGAGUAAAGAAAUCAGAAACGUUCAACAUCGAGCAGAUCAAUAAAUUCAAUGGGUAGCAACAAUAACUGGAAAGAACUAACAAAGAUGUCAAUUGAUCUAAUAAACGAAAAGUGCGGCAUGUUGCUUGUGAAAAUACCAGAUUCCAAAACAUAAAUUGAAAGAACCUUUGUUGUAAUUGGGCAAGAAAACCUGCUGUUUUAUUGGCACUAUUUAUCUUUUUGGGCGAUCCCAUACUCCACGUAACAGACUAUUCGUGAAUUACAAAAAAGACAAAUGUUUGAUUUAGCCUGUUGGUAUCGACAGUUUUGUAAAUCACGGAUCAAGAAUCGCAGAAAUUUUUGAAUUUAUUCAAAAUGGAAAUUUACACAGCUCAUAGCAUUCGUCCAACAGAAGAAGAAAGAAUUUUUUUAUCGUAUAACUAUAGAGAGGAAUCCCUUAUCAUGUUUUAUUGAUUUUCAUCGUAUACUUUCAAAACAAAAAUCAACCUUGAUCCGAAAGAAAGAAUGGAGCAUGACACGAGGCUAUAAAAAUAUGAUUAAAAAGUUCAAAAGUU